rnacentral:rRNA from 1 species
UACGGGGGGGGCAAGCGUUGUUCGGAAUUACUGGGCGUAAAGGGCUCGUAGGCGGCCAACUAAGUCAGACGUGAAAUCCCCAGGCUCAACCUGGGAACUGCGUCUGAUACUGGAUGGCUUGAAUUCGGGAGAGGGAUGCAGAAUUCCAGGUGUAGCGGUGAAAUGACGUAGAUAUCUGGAGGAAUACCGGUGGCGAAGGCGGCAUCCUGGACCGACAUUGACGCUGAGGAGCGAAAGCUAGGGGAGCAAACGGG